CAGCCGCCGCGGGAAAACAGAGGGUGCGAGCGUUAAUCGGAUUUACUGGGCGUAAAGCGUGCGUUGGCGGCUUCUUAAGUCGGAUGUGAAAUCCCUGAGCUUAACUUAGGAAUUGCAUUCGAUACUGGGAAGCUAGAGUAUGGGAGAGGAUGGUAGAAUUCCAGGUGUAGCGGUGAAAUGCGUAGAGAUCUGGAGGAAUACCGAUGGCGAAGGCAGCCAUCUGGCCUAAUACUGACGCUGAGGUACGAAAGCAUGGGGAGCAAACAGGAUUAGAUACCCCCGUAGUCCCUGUCUCUUAUAC
rnacentral:rRNA from 1 species